GGAAGCGCCCCGGGGCAGGCUGGGAGAUGUAGUUCCUGACUCUCCCUAGACCGGAAGUGACGUGGGGGGGAGAGACCAAGCCGAGUUGCAAACGCGCGCGGGGCGCUGCGGCUCCGCCUGGCUCGCGCGGGGCCGCUGGAGCCUCUCCCGGGCCGGAGAAGGGUGUGUGACUGAGAUCAGGGCUCUUAUCGUACUGGGCGUGGCCCUGUUCUGCCAGGUGCUGCAGAGACCCCAACUGAGAUCUGGGCCCUAUUCUGCCAGGCGCUGAAGAGACCUGAGGAGAGAUUAGAUCCCGCUGUUGUGCCAGGUGCUGCAGAGACCCCAACAGAGGUCAGACACCACUGUUAUGACAGGUGCUGUGGAGCCCCCAACUGAGAUCUGCGCCCCUGUUGUGCUGGACACUGCAGAGACCCCACAGACAUCAGGUCGCCCAUUGUGCCAGGCUACAGAAUAACGUCCACGUUUCUCCCCAAAUCAUCCCCUCCAGGGGAAGGAAAUGGCU